GACGAACGCUGGCGGCGUGCUUAACACAUGCAAGUCGAACGGAAAGGCCCUGCUUUUGUGGGGUGCUCGAGUGGCGAACGGGUGAGUAACACGUGAGUAACCUGCCCUUGACUUUGGGAUAACUUCAGGAAACUGGGGUUAAUACCGGAUAGGAGCUCCUGCUGCAUGGUGGGGGUUGGAAAUUUUCGGCGGGUGGGGAUGGACUCGCGGCUUAUCAGCUAGUUGGUGGGGUAGUGGCUUACCAAGGCUUUGACGGGUAGGCGGCCUGAGAGGGUGAACGGCGUCAAUGGGCCUAAGGUACGGCGCAGACGGGAAUAGGGGGCAGUGGGGGGAAAUCUUACACAGUGAGCGCGAGUCUGAGGCGAAGGCCCCCGGGUCGGAAAGCCGGCCUUCGGGUUAUGAACCGCUUUAGCCUGUGACGAAGCGUGUGUGACGGUAAUGAGUGAAGAAGCACCGGCUAACUACGUG
rnacentral:rRNA from 1 species